rnacentral:rRNA from 1 species
UAGGGAAUCUUCCACAAUGGACGCAAGUCUGAUGGAGCAACGCCGCGUGAGUGAAGAAGGUUUUCGGAUCGUAAAGCUCUGUUGUUGGUGAAGAAGGAUAGAGGCAGUAACUGGUCUUUAUUUGACGGUAAUCAACCAGAAAGUCACGGCUAACUACGUGCCAGCAGCCGCGGUAAUACGUAGGUGGCAAGCGUUGUCCGGAUUUAUUGGGCGUAAAGCGAGCGCAGGCGGAAUGAUAAGUCUGAUGUGAAAGCCCACGGCUCAACCGUGGAACUGCAUCGGAAACUGUCAUUCUUGAGUGCAGAAGAGGAGAGUGGAAUUCCAUGUGUAGCGGUGGAAUGCGUAGAUAUAUGGAAGAACACCAGUGGCGAAGGCGGCUCUCUGGUCUGCAACUGACGCUGGGGCUCGAAAGCAUGGGUAGCGAACAGG